AAUCAAGAAUCUAAAUAUUUGUUUCCUAAUACAACAACUUCUCUACUCUAUAACACUACCUAACCUUUUGUCCAUUAUUUCCUAGCCUAUCCCUCACGUACAUUCAUUCUCUGCACUCUUGGGAUACUUUUAGCGAAACAAAGGCAUUGUCCUUCCCUUUCUCGCAACAACCUAGUCACUGUCUCUUCUAAAACCACCAUCACAGGUCACUAGUCAAAUACAAAUCCACCGCCAAAUGAUUACUAGGCUCCAGGCGACUCCUCCUGAGCAAAUCAGGCCGCCUAAGGUGGCCUACACACAGAGAUCCGGUUGGGUCGGCUUUUGACCAAAAUCGCAACCCGACAAGAACUCUAAAGAUUCUGAUAUCUAGACAUUUCUCACAUGGUUUUAAGCAACGGCCGUUAUUUAAGGGGAUUUUAACUUCUUGUUAUUGUUAUGACCGCUAUUUAAUGGACGUUUAAA
rnacentral:misc_RNA from 1 species